AUGGCCGGAGCCAAGGUAGCAACUGUCACCACCGUCGCUGUCGCAGUCCCCACCCUGGCGAGCGUGAGGAUGCUGUCGUGGGCGAGGGCGCACCUCAUCCCGAACGGGCAGGGGCUCAUCAUCUCCACCGUCACCGGGAUGGCCUACUUCAUCAUCGCCAACAAGACCAUCCUCUCAAUGGCCAGGAAGCACUCCUUCGAGGACGCGCCGGACCACCUCAAGAACACCCUCUUCCACUGUUUACGCUAUAAUGGAUCCAUUAGUAGUGUGUAA
rnacentral:rRNA from 1 species